CAAUGGGCGCAAGCCUGAUGCAGCCAUGCCGCGUGUGUGAAGAAGGCCUUCGGGUUGUAAAGCACUUUCAGCGGGGAGGAAGGCGGUGAGGUUAAUAACCUCAUCGAUUGACGUUACCCGCAGAAGAAGCACCGGCUAACUCCGUGCCAGCAGCCGCGGUAAUACGGAGGGUGCAAGCGUUAAUCGGAAUUACUGGGCGUAAAGCG
rnacentral:rRNA from 1 species